CACGUAGGGCGCGAGCGUUGUCCGGAAUUAUUGGGCGUAAAGAGCUCGUAGGCGGCCUGUUGCGUCCGCUGUGAAAGCCCGGGGCUUAACCCCGGGUCUGCAGUGGAUACGGGCAGGCUAGAGGUAGGUAGGGGAGAAUGGAAUUCCCGGUGUAGCGGUGAAAUGCGCAGAUAUCGGGAGGAACACCGGUGGCGAAGGCGACUUCCUGGCCUGUUCUUGACGCUGAGGCGCGAAAGCUAGGGUAGCAAACGGG
rnacentral:rRNA from 1 species